UACGUAGGGGGCUAGCGUUGUCCGGAAUCAUUGGGCGUAAAGCGCGCGUAGGCGGCCCGGUAAGUCCGCUGUGAAAGUCAAAGGCUCAACCUUUGAAUGUCAGCGGAUACUGCCGGGCUAGAGUCCGGAAGAGGCGAGUGGAACUCCUGGUGUAGCGGUGGAAUGCGCAGAUAUCAGGAGGAACACCUAUGGCGAAGGCAGCUCGCUGGGACGGUACUGACGCUGAGACGCGAAAGCGUGGGGAGCAAACAGG
rnacentral:rRNA from 1 species